rnacentral:rRNA from 1 species
GACGAACCGUGCGAACGUUGUUCGGAUUCACUGGGCUUAAAGGGCGCGUAGGCGGGCGACCAAGUCAGGGGUGAGAUCUUUCGGCCCAACCGGAAAAGUGCCCCUGAUACUGGCCGCCUCGAGGGGGGUAGGGGCAUGCGGAACUUCCGGUGGAGCGGUGAAAUGCGUAGAUAUCGGAAGGAACGCCGGUGGCGAAAGCGGCGUGCUGGACCCCUUCUGACGCUGAGGCGCGAAAGCCAGGGGAGCAAACGGG